rfam:Solanum lycopersicum cultivar Heinz 1706 chromosome 8, whole genome shotgun sequence.
UGGCCUAUGAGGAGAUCUAUUAUGAAAAAACACCAUCUUUCGGGACUGAAUGGUAUUUUUUAGUACCUUGAUGUUAAUUCUGCAAUUCUGAGGCCA